CCUACGGGGGGCAGCAGUGAGGAAUAUUGGUCAAUGGGCGCGAGCCUGAACCAGCCAAGUCGCGUGAGGGAAGACGGUCCUAUGGAUUGUAAACCUCUUUUGUCGGGGAGCAAAAGACGCCACGCGUGGCGUUCCGAGAGUACCCGAAGAAAAAGCAUCGGCUAACUCCGUGCCAGCAGCCGGGGUAAUACGGAGGAUGCGGGCGUUAUCCGGAUUUAUUGGGGUUAAAGGGUGCGCAGGCGGAAGAUCAAGUCAGCGGUAAAAUUGAGAGGCUCAACCUCUGCGAGCCGUUGAAACUGGUUGUCUUGAGUGAGCGAGAGGUAUGCGGAAUGCGUGGUGUAGCGGUGAAAUGCAUAGAUAUCACGAAGAACACCGAUUGCGAAGGCAGCAUACCGGCGCUCAACUGACGCUCAUGCACGAAAGUGUGGGUAUCGAACAGGAUUAGAUACCCGAGUAGUC
rnacentral:rRNA from 1 species